UUAAAAAGCUCGUAGUUGGAUCUCAACAGUCUUGAAGCGGUCAACUUUGUAGUUGUACUGCUUUGUAGACUGUGCUUUUGCUGGAGGCUUAGGGGUGCUCUUAAUCGAGUGUCUCUGGAUGCCAGCAGGUUUACUUUGAAAAAAUUAGAGUGCUCAAAGCAGGCUAAAAUGCCUGAAUAUUCGUGCAUGGAAUAAUAGAAUAGGAUGUCGAUCCUAUUUUGUUGGUUUUCGGGACUUGACAUAAUGAUUAAUAGGGACAGUCGGGGGCAUUUGUAUUCAAACGACAGAGGUGAAAUUCUUGGACCGUUUGAAGACAAACUACUGCGAAAGCAUUUGCCAAGAAUGUUUUCAUUAAUCAAGAACGAAAGUUAGAGGUUCGAAGGCGAUUAGAUACCGCCCUAGUUCUAACCAUAAACGAUGCCAGCUAGCGAUCUGCCGCUGUUUUUACUGUAGACUCGGCAGGAAGCUUCCGGGAAACCACAGCAUUUGGGUUCCAGGGGAAGUAUGGUUGCAAAGCUGAAACUUAAAGGAAUUGACGGAAGGGCACCACCAGGAGUGGAGCCUGUGGCUUAAUUUGACUCAACACGGGAAAUCUCACCAGGCCCGGACACUGGAAGGAUUGACAGAUUGAUAGCUCUUUCU
rnacentral:rRNA from 1 species